CAAAUGGGCCUGGCAGGCCCAACUGUAACCUAAACUAGUAAUCAAAUUAUAGGGCAAAAGGCUUUUUCAGAACCGGUUCGGUCUAGAAAGCCCAAAUACAACCCAUACCAGUAGUCACAACUUUAAAGUUACCCCACGCCGCCGCCAGCCCUCUACUUAUGUUGCUAGGGUUACUCGUUCCUUUGUAAUUUGUAGUCUAGGGUUUCUCAUUCUUUUCUUCUAUAAAAGGAGCAUAAAAACUAGUCUCUAUAAGCUGGUUCGGCGUGCUUUGAUGAAUGAAUGGCGUUUGGUUGGUUUUGAGAUCUCCCACCCAUCCCAUCCCGCGCCGGCCGGCCAUGCAUUCAGUCAAAGGCUGUGUUUUCAUCUUUUCUUUUCGCUUUUUGUGUUUUUUAAAAUCUGGAUCUCUAUGGAUAAAGGUAAGCGGCUGGCCUCCCAGAUGGGGAUGGAAAGAAAUAGGGAGUGAAGGGAUGCACCCGCAACGCGAUCUUGGCCCUACAUACCAAGAAUCUCCCCGAGGUAGGUUUCAUUGCUCAGGAGCUCUUUGUGUAUCACUUUCAGCGUAUUUAUUGUCAUCUCACAUUUUAUAAUUAUCAGUAUGGUUCUUACUUAUUGAGAUUUCAUGAAAUCUCAUUGUGAUAGUCCCACGAUGGUUAUGUUCCUCGAAACUGUAGAUUUUGAUACAAAUCUAAACAACAAAGGUGAUCAUUAGUAGGGAGACCCUUCACAGCAUGCAAAAUGAGGUGUGGACUGUCCUCAUUUGGACAAGAUUAUGUAAAUAUAUUUGUUGUUUUGUUUUAAGAAACUUUUGACGAAAUCACGAUGAGGUGUAAUGACUUUGGUUAAUUUUGAGACUUUGUGACUUAUGGGUAUUUAUGAUUAUGAUUUGAUGACUC